GACGAACGCUGGCGGCGUGCCUAAUACAUGCAAGUCGAACGAACCGUGACCGAGUGCUUGCACUUGGUCAAGGUGAGUGGCGAACGGGUGAGUAACACGUGGGUAACCUACCUCAUAGUGGGGGAUAACAGUCGGAAACGACUGCUAAUACCGCAUAGGACAUGGAAUCACAUGAUUCUGUGAGGAAAGGUGGCGCAAGCUAUCGCUAAGAGAUGGACCCGCGGUGCAUUAGCUAGUAGGUAGGGUAACGCCUACCAAGGCGAUGAUGCAUAGCCGACCUGAGAGGGUGAUCGGCCACAUUGGGACUGAGACACGGCCCAAACUCCUACGGGAGGCAGCAGUAGGGAAUCUUCCGCAAUGGACGCAAGUCUGACGGAGCAACGCCGCGUGAGUGAAGAAGGUCUUCGGAUCGUAAAGCUCUGUUGUUAGAGAAGAACAGCGCAUAGAGUAACUGUUAUGCGG
rnacentral:rRNA from 1 species